rnacentral:snRNA from 1 species
UGUUGUCGAUCUGGCUGCAACAUCUGUCACCCCAUUGAUCGCCAGGGUUGAUUCGUCUGAUCUAGCUGGCUAGGCGGGUGUCCCCUUCCUCCCUCAAUGCUCCAUGUGCGUCCCUCCCAAAGCUGCGCACUUGGUUAAAGAGGACGACCUUCCCCAAUAGAAGGAGGACAGUCCUUCGGUCAAGGGUAUACCAGUAGCAGUGCUCCCCUGCUAGAACCUCCCCACAAGUCUCAAGGGCCAGGUGUUUUUCUACUAAUGCUUUGGCUAAAUUUCUGAAAAAAUAUCUCAAUAAGCAGAUGUUUCCUUC